rnacentral:rRNA from 1 species
GAUGAACGCUGGCGGCAUGCCUAACACAUGCAAGUCGGACGGACAGUGGUGUUGCCAGUGGCGGUCGGGUGAGCAACGCGUAAGAACCUGCCCCGGGGAGGGGCACACCAGCUGGAAAGGGCAGCUAAGAGCCCGCAGACCUAGUAGCAAAAGGCGGACUGCGCCGGAUGGUGGACACGGGUCUGACUGACUUGUUGGUGCAGCAAUAGCUGACCAAGGCGAUGAUCAGUAGAUGGUAGGAGAGGACGAUCAUCCAGACUGGUACGGAGACACGGCGCAGACUACUACGGGCGGCAGGAGUGGGGAAUACGCCGCAAUGGGCGAAAGCCUGUGAGGGCCAUGCCGUGUGGAAGUAGAGUGCUUAGGGGUCGAGAACUUCUUUUCCCGGUGAAGAAGUAAUGACGGUAUCUGGUGAAUAAGCAACGGCUAACUCUGUG